GUACACGCUGUGACUAGCAUAUCAAUAAGCGGAGGAAAAGAAACUAACAAGGAUUCCCCUAGUAACGGCGAGUGAAGCGGGAAGAGCUCAAAUUUGAAAUCUUAAAGGGUUUCCCUUUACGAAUUGUAGUUUAAAGAAGUGUUUUCUGUUGAGGUUUUGGUAAAAGUUCUUUGGAAUAGGACAUCAUAGAGGGUGAGAAUCCCGUAUUUGACCUUUACUUUCAACUUUGUGAUACACUUUCAAAGAGUCGGAUUGUUUGGGAAUGCAGUCCAAAAUGGGUGGUAAAUUUCAUCUAAAGCUAAAUAUCGGCGAGAGACCGAUAGCGAACAAGUACCGUGAGGGAAAGAUGAAAAGAACUUUGAAAAGAGAGUUAAACAGUACGUGAAAUUGUCAAAAGGGAAGCGUUUGACACCAGUGUUGUUUUUCUGAAAAUCAAUUAAAGAACUGUUUAUGCUAAGUUGUUUAGACUUUAUCAGCUAACUGUUUAGUUUUGAGCUUUUCUUUAAUGCACUUUUCAGUUAACAAGUCAACAUCAAUUUCUUUUGCUGUGAAAAAGCUUGAGGAAGGUGGCUUGAGAUUCGUCUUAAGUGUUUAUAGCCUCUUGCCUAUGCAGUCGGAGAGAUUGAGGUCUGCAGCGUAGAUCCUUCGGGGCUAAAUGCAUUUGUGCUAAGUUAUAGCAUUUUAUAGACAACUUGUUGACUAUGAUUUGUCUUGUAGCUUACUCGCUUAUGUUAUUUUACCUACGCUUAGGAUGUUGAGUCGUAGAGCACGCAG
rnacentral:rRNA from 1 species